AAAUUAAACUUUUGACCCCAAUUCACGGUCCACUGAACAUAGAAAAUGAAAGUGCAUGUUUCAGGUUAAAGUUUUUGGUCAAGGUAGUUUUUGAUGAAGUUGAAGUCCAAUCAACUUGGAACUUAGUACACAUGUUUCCAAUGAUAUUAUCUUUCUAAUUUUAAUGCCUAAUUAUAUUUUUUAUCCAAUUUCACGGUCCAUUGAACAUGGAAAAUGAUAGUGCGAGUGGGGCAUUCGUGUACUUUGGACACAUUCUUGUUAAUUCUUGUAUUAGUAUUUUGAAAGACACGUUGUCUUAUUUUGUCAUAAUAUGUAUAACUGCAUGCAAUGUGCUCUCUCCACGAUAUAACAUUAUGCGCUAUAUAGCCGUAUGCGUUGCUGUAAUUGUAAAUUACAUUUACUGUUAAUGCAUGAAUAGUUUUCUACAUUGAGAAUCAAAGACCGAAUACCAUUACACAUCUUGUCAAAAGUUACAACUUAUAUUGUGUUUAAUUUAUGUUUUGUUGAAAAUAAAAUAAUUUCAAAAUAGAAUAUUCGUUUAAUACCCCCCCCCCCCCCUUUUUCAUGCAUAUUAUGUGUGUAUGUAUGCAUUGUUAAGAAAAAAAUGUAGUUUGUAGGAGUUCUUCGAUGUAUAUAAUCCCAUUCUAACAUUAACUCGGUACAAUGUGGCAAGGGGUAGAAUAUCGAAAAAAUGACGGUAUAGUUAUAUAACUAUUUAUAUUUAUGGACUUGUUUUGGAAAAACCAUCAGUCGGGUAGGGCCUUGUGAGGAAAAAUCGGUGUAGCCGGCAGCAAGGAUAUUAAAAACUAAAAAUGGCCUUUCAACAAAAGCCAUCUUCAAGGAAAAUGAAAUAAUCUUUCUAUGGCUUUGAGAAGAAAAAAAAUGUAAUGAGAUAAAUAUGGGCAUUUCUGACCCGAUCUUCUUUUUGAGUCGC
rnacentral:lncRNA from 1 species